rnacentral:rRNA from 1 species
UUGCACGCUGGCGGCAUGCCUUACACAUGCAAGUCGAACGGCAGCACGGGUGCUUGCACCUGGUGGCGAGUGGCGAACGGGUGAGUAAUACAUCGGAACAUGUCCUGUAGUGGGGGAUAGCCCGGCGAAAGCCGGAUUAAUACCGCAUACGAUCUACGGAUGAAAGCGGGGGACCUUCGGGCCUCGCGCUAUAGGGUUGGCCGAUGGCUGAUUAGCUAGUUGGUGGGGUAAAGGCCUACCAAGGCGACGAUCAGUAGCUGGUCUGAGAGGACGACCAGCCACACUGGGACUGAGGCACGGCCCAGACUCCUACGGGAGGCAGCAGUGGGGAAUUUUGGACAAUGGGCGAAAGCCUGAUCCAGCAAUGCCGCGUGUGUGAAGAAGGCCUUCGGGUUGUAAAGCACUUUUGUCCGGAAAGAAAUCCUUGGCCCUAAUACGGUCGGGGGAUGACGGUACCGGAAGAAUAAGCACCGGCUAACUACGUG